rnacentral:sRNA from 1 species
AUAAAAAAUAUAUUAAUACGAGACGAUAUAUUACAGGAAAAAUCUUAAAUAUAACAAUCAAAAUUCAAUGAUGAAUUUUGGGUCGAUAUUGUAUUUUUUUAAGUUUCAGAUUUUAUAAUAUUGAAAUUUAUAAGAAAAUGACAAAAUUAUGUUUAAUUUCAAGGGACUGGGUUAUAUGGUAGGACGGGUUUGGGUGGAUAAUAACUACGAUUUUAGAAUGUCCCACAUCGCUUAAAAAAAUGGACAAUGGUCAAGAGCCAUACUAUAAAAAGGACCAAAAUAAUUUUGAUUACAAAUGAGCAUGAAACUUAAUUUAUGAGGUGUCCAAAAUUAAAAUGGUUUGUUUACUAGGGUUAUUUUUAUUUUAAAAAAUUGAAGCUUUAAAAAGUUUAAAAAAUUAUAAAUUAAAUUUUACAAGAAAUUUAAACAAUAUAAAACAUAUUAAUACGGGACGAUAUACUGCGAGAGAAAUCUUAGAUAUAACACUCAAAAUUCAUUGAUGAAGUUUGGGUCAAUAUUAAUCUUUUUUGAAGUUUCUAAUUUUAUAAAUAUUUGAAAUUUAUAAUAAAAUGAUAAAUUUGUGUUUAAUUUCACGGGACGGGGUUAUAUGGUGUGACGGGUUUGAGUGGAUAAUAACAUGGGAUAGUAUGCUAUGGAAAAACAUAUAAUAACAAUCAUAAUAUAAUUAUAUAAUCUUAAACACUAAACAAAAUUAACAAUAUUAAAA